UACGUAGGUGGCAAGCGUUGUCCGGAAUUAUUGGGCGUAAAGGGCUCGCAGGCGGUCUUCUAAGUCUGAUGUGAAAUCUUGCGGCUUAACCGUAAUCGGUCAUUGGAAACUGGAGGACUUGAGUACAGAAGAGGAGAGUGGAAUUCCACGUGUAGCGGUGAAAUGCGUAGAGAUGUGGAGGAACACCAGUGGCGAAGGCGACUCUCUGGUCUGUAACUGACGCUGAGGAGCGAAAGCGUGGGGAGCAAACAGG
rnacentral:rRNA from 1 species